UCGCGGUGGCGGUGGCGCUGUCGUUCGGCCUCGGCGGCCGCGACGCGGCGGGCAAGCUGCUCGAUCGCUGGUUCAACCAGCGCCGCGGC
rnacentral:tRNA from 1 species